GUGGGGAAUAUUGGGCAAUGGGCGAAAGCCUGACCCAGCAACGCCGCGUGAAGGAAGAAGGUUUUCGGAUCGUAAACUUCUAUCCUUGGUGAAGAUAAUGACGGUAGCCAAGAAGGAAGCCCCGGCUAACUACGUGCCAGCAGCCGCGGUAAUACGUAGGGGGCAAGCGUUGUCCGGAAUGAUUGGGCGUAAAGGGCGCGUAGGCGGCCCGGUAAGUCUGAAGUGAAAGUCCUGCUUUUAAGGUGGGAAUUGCUUUGGAUACUGUCGGGCUUGGGUGCAGGGGAGGGAAGCGGAAUUCCCGGUGUAGCGGUGAAAUGCGUAGAGAUCGGGAGGAACACCAGUGGCGAAGGCGGCUUACUGGACUGUAACUGACGCUGAGGCGCGAAAGUGUGGGGAGCAAACAGGAUUAGAAACCCUGGUAGUCC
rnacentral:rRNA from 1 species